rnacentral:rRNA from 1 species
UGGGGAAUAUUGGACAAUGGGGGCAACCCUGAUCCAGCGAUGCCGCGUGUGUGAAGAAGGCCUGCGGGUUGUAAAGCACUUUAGUUGGGGAGGAUUGCGUUGUGGUUGAAAGACCAUAGCGUUGACGUUACCCAAAGAAUAAGCACCGGCAAACUCUGUGCCAGCAGCCGCGGUAAUACAGAGGGUGCAAGCGUUAAUCGGAAUUACUGGGCGUAAAGGGCGCGUAGGUUGUUAUACAAGUCAGAUGUGAAAGCCCUGGGCUUAACCUGGGAAUGGCAUUUGAAACUGUAAGACUAGAGUGAAGUAGAGGGUAGCGGAAUUUCCGGUGUAGCGGUGAAAUGCGUAGAUAUCAAGAGGAACACCUGAGGUGAAGACGGGUUGCUGGGCUGACACUGACGCUGAGGCGCGAAAGCGUGGGGAGCAAACAGGAUUAGAUACCCAGGUAGUCCCUGAGCGGGCUGGCAAGGCGCAU